UCAAGUCUUUAAGAGCAAACGGUGGAUGCCUUGGCAUCUGGAGCCGAAGAAGGACGUAGCAAUCUGCGAUAAGCCUCGGGGAGUGGAUAAGCACACUUUGAUCCGAGGAUCUCCGAAUGGGGAAACCCCGCUGGGCGGCGUGCCGACCCAGUGACUCCCGCCUGAAUAUAUAGGGCGGGUAGAGGGAACGUGGGGAAGUGAAACAUCUCAGUACCCACAGGAAGAGAAAGCAACCGCGAUUCCGUUAGUAGUGGCGAGCGAAACCGGAACAGGCUAAACCGAGUACGUGUGAUAUCCGGCAGGAGUUGCGUAUUCGGGGUUGUGGGACUUUUCAGGCUGCUCUGCCGAGCAGCCGGCGUUACAAGAAGGUAUAGACGAACUGGAUUGAAAGCCAGGUCAUAGAGGGUGCCAACCCCGUAGUCGAAAUGCCUCCCUUGGCGCGAAGAGUAUCCCAAGUAGCACGGGGCCCGAGAAAUCCCGUGUGAAUCUGUCAGGACCACCUGAUAAGCCUAAAUACUCCCAGAUGACCGAUAGCGGACAAGUACCGUGAGGGAAAGGUGAAAAGUACCCCGGGAGGGGAGUGAAAUAGUACCUGAAACCGUUUGCUUACAAACCGUUGGAGCCUCCUUAGUAGGGGUGACAGCGUGCCUUUUGAAGAAUGAGCCUGCGAGUUAGCGAUACGUGGCGAGGUUAACCCGUGAGGGGUAGCCGUAGCGAAAGCGAGUCUGAAUAGGGCGAUUCAGUCGCGUGUCCUAGACCCGAAGCGAAGUGAUCUAUCCAUGGCCAGGUUGAAGCGACGGUAAGACGUCGUGGAGGACCGAACCCACUUAGGUUGAAAACUGAGGGGAUGAGCUGUGGAUAGGGGUGAAAGGCCAAUCAAACUUCGUGAUAGCUGGUUCUCUCCGAAAUGCAUUUAGGUGCAGCGUUGCGUGUUUCUUGCCGGAGGUAGAGCUACUGGAUGGCCGAUGGGCCCUACAAGGUUACUGACGUCAGCCAAACUCCGAAUGCCGGUAAGUGAGAGCGCAGCAGUGAGACUGUGGGGGAUAAGCUUCAUAGUCGAGAGGGAAACAACCCAGACCACCAACUAAGGUCCCAAAGCGCGUGCUAAGUGGGAAAGGAUGUGGAGUUGCCUUGACAACCAGGAGGUUGGCUUAGAAGCAGCCACCCUUGAAAGAGUGCGUAAUAGCUCACUGGUCAAGUGAUUCCGCGCCGACAAUGUAACGGGGCUCAAGCACGCCACCGAAGUUGUGGCAUUGACAUUAUUGGUAGGCCUUCGUGGUCCAGCCGUGUUGAUGGGUAGGAGAGCGUCGUGUGGCCAGCGAAGCGGCGGUGUGAACCAGCCGUGGAGGCUACACGAGUGAGAAUGCAGGCAUGAGUAGCGAAAGACGUGUGAGAAACACGUCCUCCGAAAGACCAAGGGUUCCAGGGUCAAGCUAAUCUUCCCUGGGUAAGUCGGGACCUAAGGCGAGGCCGACAGGCGUAGUCGAUGGACAACGGGUUGAUAUUCCCGUACCGGCGAAGAACCGCCCAAGCUAAUCCAGUGGUGCUAAGAGUCCUAGCUCGGAAUGUUCGGAUCCCUUCGGGGUGAUGACCUCCGUGUGAACGCUCGACCCCAUGCUGGUGCGGCUAGCGUAUUAACAGGUGUGACGCAGGAAGGUAGCCCAACCCGGGCGAUGGUUGUCCCGGGGCAAGUGCGUAGGCCGAGAGAUAGGCAAAUCCGUCUCUCAUACAGGCUGAGACACGAUGCGGAUAAAAAGUGGGUGAUCCUAUGCUGCCGAGAAAAGCAUCGACGCGAGGUUCUAGCCGCCCGUACCCCAAACCGACUCAGGUGGUCAGGUAGAGAAUACCAAGGAGAUCGAGAGAAUCGUGGUUAAGGAACUCGGCAAAAUGCCCCCGUAACUUCGGGAGAAGGGGGGCCUUCGACGUAUUAGGACUUGCUCCGAAAGCGUUUGGAGGCCGCAGAGACUAGUGGGUAGCGACUGUUUACUAAAAACACAGGUCCGUGCCAAGUCGCAAGACGAUGUAUACGGACUGACGCCUGCCCGGUGCUGGAAGGUUAAGAGGACCGGUUAGCCGUAAGGCGAAGCUGAGAAUUUAAGCCCCAGUAAACGGCGGUGGUAACUAUAACCAUCCUAAGGUAGCGAAAUUCCUUGUCGGGUAAGUUCCGACCUGCACGAAUGGCGUAACGACUUCCCAACUGUCUCAACCGCGAACUCGGCGAAAUUGCAAUACGAGUAAAGAUGCUCGUUACGCGCAGCAGGACGGAAAGACCCCGUGACCUUUACUACAGCUUGGUAUUGGUGUUCGGUGUGGCUUGUGUAGGAUAGGUGGGAGACUUUGAAGCAGGGACGCCAGUUCUUGUGGAGUCAUUGUUGAAAUACCACUCUGGUCACUCUGGAUAUCUAACUUCGAACCGUAAUCCGGUUCAGGGACAGUGCCUGGUGGGUAGUUUAACUGGGGCGGUUGCCUCCCAAAAAGUAACGGAGGCGCCCAAAGGUUCCCUCAACCUGGUUGGCAAUCAGGUGGCGAGUGUAAGUGCACAAGGGAGCUUGACUGUGAGACUGACAGGUCGAGCAGGGACGAAAGUCGGGACUAGUGAUCCGGCAGUGGCUUGUGGAAGCGCUGUCGCUCAACGGAUAAAAGGUACCUCGGGGAUAACAGGCUGAUCUUGCCCAAGAGUCCAUAUCGACGGCAUGGUUUGGCACCUCGAUGUCGGCUCGUCGCAUCCUGGGGCUGGAGUAGGUCCCAAGGGUUGGGCUGUUCGCCCAUUAA
rnacentral:rRNA from 1 species